rnacentral:rRNA from 1 species
AACGUAGGGGUCGAGCGUUAUCCGGAAUUACUGGGCGUAAAGCGCGUGUAGGCGGCUGUUUAAGUUGGACGUGAAAGCUCCUGGCUCAACUAGGAGAGGUCGUUCAAAACUGGGCAGCUCGAGGAUGGUAGAGGCAAGUGGAAUUCCCGGUGUAGUGGUGAAAUGCGUAGAUAUCGGGAGGAACACCAGUGGCGAAGGCGGCUUGCUGGGCCAACCCUGACGCUGAGACGCGAAAGCUAGGGGAGAGAACGGG